CCUACGGGGGACAGCAGUGGGGGAUAUUGCACAAUGGGGGGAACCCUGAUGCAGCGACGCCGCGUGGGUGAAGGAGUGCUUCGGCAUGUAAAGCCCUAUCGGCAGGGAAGAAGCAAGACGGUACCUGACUAAGAAGCCCCGGCUAACUACGUGCCAGCAGCCGCGGUAAUACGUAGGGGGCGAGCGUUAUCCGGAUUCACUGGGUGGAAAGGGAGCGUAGACGGCCAUGCAAGCCAGGGGUGAAAGCCCGGGGCCCAACCCCGGGACUGCCCUUGGAAUUGCAUGGCUGGAGUGCGGGAGGGGCAGGCGGAAUUCCUGGUGUAGCGGUGAAAUGCGUAGAGAUCAGGAGGAACACCGGCGGCGAAGGCGGUCUGCUGGACUGCGACUGACGUUGAGGCUCGAAAGCGUGGGGAGCGAACAGGAUUAGAUACCCGAGUAGUC
rnacentral:rRNA from 1 species